rnacentral:tRNA from 1 species
GUGAACAUAGUGUAGUGGUUAUCACGUUUGCUUUACACGCAAAAGGACUCCAGUUCGAUCCUGGAUGUUCGCA